rnacentral:lncRNA from 1 species
UCAUCUUUGUCAUCGCCGUUGUCACCAUUAUUUUUUCUCAUCCUAUGUUCUCUUGAUUUGUUGACUAUCAUCUGCAGGCUAUGGAUCAAGCUUCAGAGAAAGGUCUAAUUUUCAUUGAUGGAUCUGGACCCACAUAUGCUACUGCCACAGUAAGAAUAUAUCUCUUACGGUAACUCUUCCUCUUUCUGAUGCUAGUCUCUAUUACUGUCUGGGAGAAUAAUAACCAGAUUUAACUUUAUGGUGUUAACACGCAUGCGUCACAUUACGCUUAUUUUUCCCUUUUCCCAACUAUUUUUGGUGUUUUCUGCUGGGUGUUCGUCAGCCAUUGUAACAACCCAUUAGGUCGUUUUGGGUACUAUAGCUUCUUAUUUCAUAAAAGACUCUUCUGAUAAAUUCUAAAUGGGUAUUUUGGACUAUUCGUAACUAUAGGUAUAUAACUAAUGGGGUAAUUUUAAUAAUUAAUUUAGUCGGUGGUUAAAGAAAAUAACAUUAAAAUUAGUAGUGAGCUUAAUUGGUCAUGUAUAAUAAUUAGGGUAAGAAAUAAUCUGUAAAAGAAAGAAAAGUGAAAACUAGGCGAGAAACUUUACUUGCGGCGUCUAACAAGGAAGACCGACAUCGAGGUAAUGUUUUGAAUCUUCAAUGUCCUUAUUUAAUGGUAGGGGGUUAAGUAUUAUAUAAUAAUAUUUCAUGGUUAGAUAUGAAUUGAAAGUGGGUGUUAGCGGAUGUGCUGGGAGUUUGGAUUUUGAAUAAGAAAGUGAGGGUGAUAAUGAAUUGGUUGAUGGACUAAUGAUUAGCCAAUCAUUGACUUGAUAAAUUAGGCUUAUAGUAUAUGAUAAAUUUGGGUUAGAGUUGUUGCCACUACUUUUCGAUGCCAAUGACUUUAAUCUUGAAUUUUAUUACGUUGUCAUCAUAUUAUAAAUUGAGAUUUAAUAUAUUGAGAUAUGUAAUUAAAUAUUAGGUGUAUUGUAUAAUUUGAAUAUCAUUAAAGUGAUGAUAAUUAGAGCAAUUGAGACUUAUCCUUAGGCUUGAACUUUAGGAAAGUGACUAGAUUUGGGUGAGUUUUUGGGUCUAGGCUAGACAUAUAGUAGUAUGGGUGUCUAUAGACUCGUUUACUUAUGAAUUAUGCAUGUUUAAUAGAUUGAAAACGUUCAGAGGCAUUGAGGAAAGGAAAAGCUUUGGAAAAAUUAGCUUGCACGACUUCGAUUCCUCGGUCGAGGUAGGUUAUGAUUUAUUCUAUGUGAUAGAUAGACAUAGACUCUUAAUAUUGAUUGAUAAUCAUUGAGUGAUAUGGUGAAUUUCUCUAUGUACUUGGUUGUGUGGUUUGGAUAAUCUGUGUUGUUUGUGAUUGGUCUGAAAUCUUGAGACCGUGAAAUUUAUAAUCUUGAACCUUCUCUAUCGAAGUGAUGCCUUGAAUAAAGAAGGCUUGAUGAAAUAUUGUUAAUGAAGUUAAAAGUGGUGAUAAUAAAUGAUAAAUUAACGAUAUAUUUGGAUCGGGUGCCACGAGCCGACACGAUGUUAUUUGAUCAGGUGUCACGUUCCGGCAAGACAACAUUAAAGGAAAACAUAUAUAAACAACGUAAUGUACUAAAAAAAAAAACGUAAUGUACUCAAUCUCAAAAAAAAAAAGAAAAAAAACUAAUAUGCAACGAGUAAUAGUAUAAAAUCAACUAUGACACUUAGUAGGUGGCAAGCAACAACCAACAUGAACAAGUGACAACAACACUAAAGUAAGUACGUAAUCAGUCAACAAUAUCAAGAGCACACAUGGGGACUCAUGCCUCCAAACUAAGCUAUUUUAGGAAUUGAGUUCUUUGAGAUUGAGUACAUUACAUUGUUUAUAUAUGUUUUCCUUUAAUGUUGUCGUGCCGGAACUGACACCCGAUCCAAUAACAUCGUGCCGGCUCGUGGCACCCGAUCCAAAUAUAUCGUUAAUUUAUCAUUUAUUAUCACCACUUUUCACUUUAUUAACAAUAUUUCAUCAAGCCUUCUUUAUUCAAGGCAUCACUUUGAUAGAGAAAGUUCAAAAUUAUAAAUUUCACGGUCUCAGGAUUUCAGACCAAUCACAAACAACACAUAGAUUCUCCAAACCACACAACCAAGUACAUAAAGAAAUUCACAAUAUCACUCAAUGAUUAUCAAUUACUAUUAAGAGUCUAUCUAUCACAUAGAAUAAACCCUAAUCUACCUCCACCGAGGAAUUGAAGUCGAGCAAGCUAAUUCUUCAAAACUUUUCCUUUCUUCAAUGCCUUCGAACGCUUUCAAUCUAUUAAACAUGCAUAAUUCAUAAGUAACCGAGUCUAUAUACACCCAUAUUACUAUAUGUCUAGCCUAGACCCAAAAACUCACCCAAAUCUAUAGUCACUUUCCUAAAGUUCAAGCCUAAGGAUAAGUUUCAAUUGCUCUAAUUAUCAUCACUUUAAUGAUAUUCGAAUUAUACAAUACACCUAAUAUUUAAUUACAUAUCUCAAUAUAUUAAAACUCAAUUUAUAAUAUGAUGACAACGUAAUAAAAUUCAAGAUUAAAGCCACUGGCUUUGAAAACUAGUGACAACAACUCUGAUCCAAAUUUAUCAUAUACUAUAAGCCAAAUUUAUCAUAUCAUCAACCAAUGAUUGACUAAUCAUUAAUCCAUCAACUUGUUAGCUUUGAUAAUUGGCCCCAAAUAAUUAUUCAUUAAUUUUGGCUACGUUUAUUGUCCAAAUUUAUGUUGUAGAUCUAUUUUUUUUGGUACACUUAAAAAAACCUAAAAAGGAAAAAAUAAAUUUUGAUAAGUCAAAUUGCUUAAUUCUCCCAAGAGAAAAAACUUUAUAUUAUUUUUGGUGACUUUCCAAACUAGAAAUUCUUCUUUAUUUUAAAAAAUAAAAUUGGAGUUAGAGAAAGUGAAAAUGGAGAAGGGGAUUACAAGGUAGGGUCAAACCCUCACCAAUAAAUUGAAAAUUCAGCUAGUCAACCAACAUAGCUACUAAGAUUCUCCAACUAGCAAUUCUUUGUAUGUUACGAUCUUUAUUUCUCCAAGAGUUUGUAAGAUUAUUUAUAAUCUCUCUUCAAAUGCAUAUUUUAUCCUUCAUUUCCAUCAAGUGUUUAUAAUUUUCACUAAUAGCAAUAUGAGAGUGAAAUUAUAUAUCCACAUUGUUUUAUUAUAAAUUGACAGCAAAAAGGUAAUAUGCUUAUUGGUAUCUUUAAUUAUGCUAUGUUUAUGUAGGAAUUUUUUUUUAAAUUUUUUCAAAUAAGAAGCUGAAGAAAGAAUAAAGUUAAAUGAAGAAAAAAGAGAUGAUAAAUCCUAAUGACAAAAUGGAGAAUAUUAAUCAAGAUUUCAUAAAAAUUCUUGAUGUGGUGAGAUCUCACAAGCAUUAUUGUCUUUUAGAAUCUCAACUUCUCAGAAAGGUAAAUACAUUGCUAAUCUAUAUAUAUGUUGUGGUUUCUUAAACUUAUAUUUGUACUUUAAUUAUAAACUAAAACUUAGACAAUUAAAAAGAAUGCUUUCUUUCUUCUAUUUCAUGUGACGUUCUUUCCUCUUUAAUCUAUUAUAAAAAAAACGUAUUUUCUUAAUUGAAACAUGAUGAAGUUUGAACCUCAUAUCUUUUUAUCUUUAAAGACAUGUUUACUUUGACUCUACAUGGAACAAAGAGUUCUAAAACUUGUGGUCUUAGAUACGUUGUAAUAAUUUUGUGACUAUAAAACUUCUCACUAAUGAUAAAAUAAAAAAUGUAUAGCUUGAUUAUUUUCAAAUAUAGACAUAUGUCAUAAUUUUUAAAUAGAUUGAUAGUAAAAUGGUGUUACAUAAAAUCGGAAAUAAAGGAGUAUCUGACAUGUUUAACACCAAAAGUUUUUUUUUCUUUUUAAACUCAUUAUUAUGAGGUCAAAUUUACAGUAUAAGGAUCAUAAAACAUGGAUUGUAUAUUCGUUACUAGUGCUAAUAUUUUUUUUUUUCCAAGAAGAUAUAUAUUAUACUAAACAAAUUAAGCAGCAUAUGGAUAUCUACAUUAUUCAAAACAUGUUAGAACAAGAUAGGUUUUUCGAACUUGGAAAAUGCCAAUUUCUUUAAAGAUAUUUUAUUCAUUUUCAGCAACGUCAUUGUUUAUUACCCGAAUGAAACUCUUCAAUAUUUUAUCGCGCCUGAACUCAUCGCCAUUAUUGUGAGAAACCCUAAUUAUGUCGCGAAAUUGUGUGUGGAUUAGCAGCAGCAGGCAAACCAAUGUUGGCCAAACAAAAAUUCGAGAACAGGGCAUAGUAUGCACAUAACAAAGCUCAAGAAGGUGAGUCGUUGGUGAGGAGGAGUACGAGAGUGAGAAAUAAGGCUUGCGAAUUCAAGAACGAUCAGGAUAAUGAUUGCAAAGGGAAACAAAGAAGAAUAACAAAGAAAAAAUAAGAAUAUUUUGGAAAUAAUGAGUGAAGCUUACUAGAAGGUGGUCAAAUUUAUAGAUGUUUUUUUAGGUGUAUUAAAUUUCUUUUGUUUUGUAGUUAUGGUAAUAUUUCAUAGUUUAUUAUCAAUGUAGAUUGUAGACUAUAAUUAAUCUCCUAACCUUAUUUUAUAAAGAAAGAAAUAAAAAUAAUUAAAUGUAUAUAAGUUUUAUAAUCAAUAAAUAUGUGUACUAACUAAUUAUAAAAUUACUAAUCAAUAAAUGACAUGUGUCCUAUUUGUGCACUUAUCACUUGUCUUCAAGUGAGUGUGCACACUCUCUAUGCCAUGUUAGUGUGUGUAGUAUAUUUAUUCCAUUUUAAAUUAGUUGGGGGGGGGGGGGGGAUAAUAGGACCUAGUUAAAUUUAGGUGUGUCUCUGAGAUUUCGGUCACAAUCCACAGGGGUACUUUUGCCUUAUCCCUUUUGUAAUUUAUGUAACCUCUAGGCCAUUUAUCUACCCAAUUUAAUACCCCACAAUCUUCCUUUUUAUUGCAAGAAAGAAUGUCUCCACUACAAAUAAUGAUGAUCUUACUUUUUUCCGGUGUAUAAGAAAAUAUAGAGUGCAUAAAAGUGAGUAAAAAAAAGUUCUUAUUAGUUGAAGGGAGAUGUUCUUUUUAUGAAGCUUUGGAUUCAAUUUUUGUCUCAUAUUUGUUGACUUGUACUUUGAGAUUGAGGUAUGUUGUCCGGAGAGGACAAGUUAAGAAGAUUAUUGCUGGACUGGUGAAAAGACUUGUUGCCAUGGGCUUAAAUCUCCUUAAAAAGAGCAAGAUAUAUAUUCAUGUCUCAACCUAGAAAUUUAUUUUCUUUAUUUUAUUUUCAAUUGUAAUUUUGUAAUUUCACCAACAAAACUACUUGACUUUCCCAUAUUAAUAUAUAUCAUCCUGUAAUUUUUUUUAAUUUUUUUUUUAACAAAAACUAUACUAUCUAAUCAGUUGAAGAAUAUCUACGCAUAAACCUAAAUUUGUUUUCUCUAUUGCUAUUUUAUUGUCAUAUUUUUUUCCCUUACAACCAUGUUAUGAACUUUUCUUUUGAAUCGUGGGUCUAUUAGAAAUAAUAUUUUUAUCACACAAAGAUAUGGGUAAAAUAUGUGUACAUCUUAAUUCUUACCCCCCUCAAACUCACUUGUGAGAUUAUACUGAAUGUUCACUACUAGAAAAACCAACUUCCAAAGAGGUCUGAAUAAACCCAUCUUUUGAAUUGUGGAUCAAUUAGAAAAAAACUCUUUAUCCCGCAAAGAUAUGAAUAAGAUAUGUGUACAUCCUACCUCCUAGAUUCAACUGUAAGAUGAAUAUGUUUUUCACUACUAAAAUUUGAUAUUGGGCAAGACUUCAUUAACAUCAAGUUAUGGUGAUGUUAAAAAAAUUGAUUAUAAAUCUCGACAAAUUUCCUUACAAAAAGUCAGGGUGAUCGUCAAAAAUUUGUCCACAAACCUGGAUGAAUCACCAUAAUAUUUUCAGCAUUAACGACAAUAUCAUAUUGUUUGAUUUAUCUCUUGAUAUAUUUGGGAUAGUUCUGAAGGAAGUGGAACUGAUACACUCCCUACUAGUAUUGUUGAGCUCUGUCCAUUUAUACUUUGUAAUUUCAUCAUUCUCUUGCUAUUAAAUUAAAACUAUGCUCUUGAAAACUCAACGAUAUAUUAAUGUGUGUGUAGAACUUUUCCAGCCCAUUUCAAUGGUAUGUUUUUUCUUUACUAAUCAUGAAUAGCUUGGUUCUACAGGUUGAAAUCUCUCUUUUCGAAAGGGUUAAACACGGUGAAGUUUGGCAUUUUAGCUAAGCAACUUUGUGAUGAAUUAACCAAUUAUGGGAUAAUGAGUGAUGAACUUGUAGAAGUGGUAGCUAUGAGAAAGAAAGUCGUGAAGGACACUACGAUAGCAAUUUGGAAUGCUAGUUUAUCCAUUAAUAUUUUCUUAAAUGUAUUUUUAAGGUUAGUUAACAUUUCUCUUUCUUGACCUUUCUAGUAAGGUUGUAACUUAAAGAACUCUUAAUUACCAUUCCUAUAUUCCAUUGUGCUAAUCUAGGAAUUCUUCCUUUUUGCCCCCAUUCUUUGUCCUCAAUUAAUUGAAAUGUUUUUAUUUUUCAAGUUA